AUUAUGGUAUGCGUUGAAGUAUCUAGCGUGAGCUGAUAUGGAGCUUCCAUUAGCACAGAUCUUGGUGGUAGUAGCAAAUAUUCGAAUGAGAUCUUGGAUGG
rnacentral:ncRNA from 1 species